UUUAAACAGGCGGAUUUUUUUGCUAUUGCACAUCUUGCACACCCCGUGCGCACAAUUAUGACGAUAGGUAUUUCGUGUCUUGUUCAGAGGCAUUAGACGAACGACGUUUUCGAAUAAUACCCGAAAUAAUUGUGAUCGGUCAGAACUAGGUUUAUUUAUAGGUCUGUCUGAAAAGAACGGUUACGAUCGGUCGAGUCUAUUUUAAUACGUAAGCUGGAGGGCGAGUUCGGUCGUGUUGUACAGAUGGCGUGAGCUCGAAAUCUAUUUUAUUGAAGUAAACGACGUUUUAGCGGUAACGGUAAUCCCAAAGGCUAUCUGUUUGUCUUUCCUAUAGGCAUUUUAAAAAAAAAAAAGACUUGCGUUUACUUCUUUAUGCGAUCUAUCUCGUCCGCGCGAUAUAAAAAUAUCACACCUUGGUACCGCGAAAUCAUCUAAUAAAUAUUAAAAUAUUGAUAACAAUGAUAAUGAUUUACUUCACACACAUGCCGACAGUGCGAAAUAGCGUGGAACCGAUCCCAUGUGGCGAGGUUUAUUUAACUUGUGGCGGAUAUGGUCGAACGGGGGGAAAUUUCCCUCCUCCUACCAUGACUAUUUCUCUUUCGAUAUCCAUAUAAUCACAUCUUUCCGCCGAUAUCGAGUUCGCUCCUAUCCUAAAAAUUUUAGCAGAUAAUCGACU